rnacentral:rRNA from 1 species
UACAGAGGGUGCGAGCGUUAAUCGGAGUUACUGGGCGUAAAGCGCGCGUAGGCGGCUUUGCAAGUCGGGUGUGAAAUCCCCAGGCUUAACCUGGGAACUGCAUUCGAGACUGCAUUGCUAGAGUAUGGGAGAGGGAAGUGGAAUUUCCGGUGUAGCGGUGAAAUGCGUAGAUAUCGGAAGGAACAUCAGUGGCGAAAGCGACUUCCUGGACCAAUACUGACGCUCAUGUGCGAAAGCGUGGGGAGCAAACAGG